rnacentral:rRNA from 1 species
UACGUAGGGGGCAAGCGUUAUCCGGAUUUAUUGGGCGUAAAGGGAACGCAGGCGGUCUUUUAAGUCUGAUGUGAAAGCCUUCGGCUUAACCGGAGUAGUGCAUUGGAAACUGGGAGACUUGAGUGCAGAAGAGGUGGGCGGAAUUCGUGGUGUAGCGGUGAAAUGCUUAGAUAUCACGAAGAACUCCGAUUGCGAAGGCAGCUCACUGGACUGCAACUGACACUGAGGCUCGAAAGUGUGGGUAUCAAACAGG